CUUAUGUAUCAACGCUGGCGGCACCAGAAAACCUUGCGUACGCCAAAAUCGGCGCACACAUCCGGAUUUAUCAUCGCAAAACGAGCAUUGGCGUUGUUGAAGUUGGCGUUGAGCCGAUACUUGCGUUGACGGCACUUUGGCGACGCUGUGUAGCGGUGUUUGGUGACUCACUAUGUAACAAGCGUGCACCACAUCCCCGUGGCCAAGCAGCACGUCGCCCCACAUGACGAACCAGCAGCAGACGGAGGGAUGCGAGCUGAUCCCUGCCAGGCCGCCGUCCUCGCGCGGGAGAAUCUCAUCGCCACAUGGUGAAUGGGUAAGAAGUGAAUACACAGUUCAAUGAGCCAAAUUAAUUUAUUUUCGCCACCAGACGCUCGAGGACAUUUAUGAGCCGGUCCAGCCGCUCGUUGAUCCCCGCGAUCCCCCUGAUAAUUUCUUCCUGCGAUUGCAGGACUGCCUCCGUGAGGACCCUUCCACUGCGUCCGGGUGGUCCAGCGGAAGCCUCGCGGCUGGUGGACGCUCCACCGCUUGUCAGUGCACUGGUGCUGAUGCUGGUGCUGGGGCCGGGGUGGCCCGAAUGCCGCUGGUCCUGGCCGACGACUCCGAGCCAGCGGACGGGCUGCCGCGGGCUGGGUUCCGCAAGCCGGC